CCUACGGGAGGCAGCAGUAGGGAAUCUUCCGCAAUGGACGAAAGUCUGACGGAGCAACGCCGCGUGAACGAUGAAGGCCUUCGGGUCGUAAAGUUCUGUUGUUAGGGAAGAACAAGUGCUAGUUAAAUAAGCUGGCACCUUGACGGUACCUAACCAGAAAGCCACGGCUAACUACGUGCCAGCAGCCGCGGUAAUACGUAGGUGGCAAGCGUUGUCCGGAAUUAUUGGGCGUAAAGCGCGCGCAGGCGGUUUCUUAAGUCUGAUGUGAAAGCCCCCGGCUCAACCGGGGAGGGUCAUUGGAAACUGGGAAACUUGAGUGCAGAAGAGGAAAGUGGAAUUCCAAGUGUAGCGGUGAAAUGCGUAGAGAUUUGGAGGAACACCAGUGGCGAAGGCGACUUUCUGGUCUGUAACUGACGCUGAGGCGCGAAAGCGUGGGGAGCAAACAGGAUUAGAUACCCUGGUAGUCCACGCUGUAAACGAUGAGUGCUAAGUGUUAGAGGGUUUCCGCCCUUUAGUGCUGAAGUUAACGCAUUAAGCACUCCGCCUGGGGAUCGAUCGCAAGCUGAAACUUANANANAGUGNGNGNGAGAGCGACGACGACGACGAGGAGGAGGAGG
rnacentral:rRNA from 1 species